UACGUAGGGUGCAAGCGUUAAUCGGAGUUACUGGGCGUAAAGCGUGCGCAGGCGGUUGUGCAAGACAGAUGUGAAAUCCCCGGGCUCAACCUGGGAAUUGCAUUUGUGACUGCACGGCUAGAGUGUGUCAGAGGGGGGUAGAAUUCCACGUGUAGCAGUGAAAUGCGUAGAGAUGUGGAGGAAUACCGAUGGCGAAGGCAGCCCCCUGGGAUAACACUGACGCUCAUGCACCGAAAGCGUGGGGAGCAAACAGG
rnacentral:rRNA from 1 species